CCAUGCAGUCGACGGUGAAGCCAAGCUUGCUUGGUGGAUCAAUGGCGAACGGGUGAGUAACACGUGAGCAACCUGCCCUGGACUCUGGGAUAAGCGCUGGAAACGGCGUCUAAUACUGGAUAUGAGCUCUCAUCGCAUGGUGGGGGUUGGAAAGAUUUUUUGGUCUGGGAUGGGCUCGCGGCCUAUCAGCUUGUUGGUGAGGUAAUGGCUCACCAAGGCGUCGACGGGUAGCCGGCCUGAGAGGGUGACCGGCCACACUGGGACUGAGACACGGCCCAGACUCCUACGGGAGGCAGCAGUGGGGAAUAUUGCACAAUGGGCGGAAGCCUGAUGCAGCAACGCCGCGUGAGGGAUGACGGCCUUCGGGUUGUAAACCUCUUUUAGCAGGGAAGAAGCGAGAGUGACGGUACCUGCAGAAAAGUUUCGUUUAUUUCCUGU
rnacentral:rRNA from 1 species